rnacentral:rRNA from 1 species
UACAUGGGGUGCAAACGUUGCUCGGAGUCAUUGGGCGUAAAGCGCGCGUAGGCGGUUACUUAAGUCGAAUGUGAAAGCCCUCGGCUUAACUGAGGAAGUGCAUCCGAAACUGAGUAGCUAGAGUACGAAAGAGGGUCGCGGAAUUCCCGGUGUAGAGGUGAAAUUCGUAGAUAUCGGGAGGAACACCGGUGGCGAAGGCGGCGACCUGGGUCGAGACUGACGCUGAGGCGCGAAAGCGUGGGGAGCAAACAGG